UGUUAUGUGGUAUACUUGUUACAUGUCCUGAGGAUCCACUGAGAUAUUUAGAGGGAAUGAUCAUGGUUAUAAUCAAAAGUGGUCUUCAGAAUCUUCUUUGGGAUAUGUGCAUUGCUCCAUCAAUGAAACCAAACAUUCGAAGAUUGUCUGAAACUUACCUGGAACAACUUUUUGAAUUGGAUGAUCAGCUGAUGACUCCAGAAUUGAUGAUAAAAGCCUGUAGCUUUUAUACUGGACAUUUAGUAAAGACUCAUUUUUGCACUUGGAGAGACAUAGCUCGUACAAAUGAAAACGUCGCCCUGGCUGAAAAAAUGAACAGAGCAGUGACAUGUUACAAUUUCAGACUUCAGAAAUCUGUAUUUCAUCACUGGCACUCUUAUAUGGAAGACCAGAAAGAAAAACUUAAAAAUACGCUAUUGCGGAUACAACAGAUCAUCUAUUGUCACAAGCUGUCCAUUAUCCUAACAAAAUGGCGGAAUAGAGCAAGACUUAAGAGUAAAAAGAAAGAAGAUGAGCUGAUACUAAAACAUGAACUUCAAUUGAAAAAAUGGAAAAAUAGGUUAAUACUCAAAAGAGCUACUGCAGAAGAAUCCAAUUUUCCUGAACAAAGUUCUUCUGAAGGCUCUCUUGUAGAUGAGACUCUAAAAUGUGACAUUUCGCUGUUACCUGAAAGAGCGAUAUUGCAGAUUUUCUUCUACCUCAGUUUAAAAGAUGUGAUAAUAUGUGGUCAAGUUAAUCAUGCCUGGAUGUUGAUGACACAGCUGAACUCACUGUGGAAUGCUAUUGAUUUUUCCACAGUGAAAAAUGUGAUUCCAGAUAAAUAUAUACUGUCUACUUUGCAAAGGUGGCGUUUAAAUGUGCUGCGUUUGAAUUUUCAUGGUUGUCUUCUCCGACCCAAAACUUUCAGAUCUGUCAGCCACUGUAGGAACUUGCAAGAGCUGAAUGUCUCUGACUGCCCAACAUUCACAGAUGAAUCAAUGAGACACAUUUCUGAGGGCUGCCCGGGGGUCCUGUAUCUCAAUCUGUCUAACACAACUAUCACCAACAGGACGAUGCGACUCCUGCCGAGGCACUUCCACAACUUACAGAAUCUUAGUUUGGCUUAUUGCAGAAGGUUCACAGAUAAAGGCUUACAGUACCUGAACUUGGGGAAUGGAUGCCACAAGCUCAUCUAUCUGGACCUCUCCGGCUGCACCCAGAUUUCAGUCCAAGGCUUCAGGUACAUUGCAAACAGCUGCACUGGAAUUACGCAUCUUACCAUUAACGACAUGCCAACUCUGACGGACAACUGUGUAAAAGCUUUAGUUGAAAAGUGCUCUCGUAUUACAUCGCUGGUUUUCACUGGUGCACCGCAUAUCUCCGAUUGUACUUUCAAAGCUCUUUCUACUUGUAAACUCAGAAAGAUCCGAUUCGAAGGAAAUAAAAGGGUUACUGAUGCAUCCUUCAAAUAUAUAGACAAGAAUUAUCCAAAUCUCAGUCACAUUUAUAUGGCUGACUGCAAGGGAAUAACAGACAGCAGCCUCAGAUCCCUUUCACCUUUGAGGCAACUGACUGUGUUGAAUUUGGCAAAUUGUGUAAGAAUUGGUGAUAUGGGGCUAAGGCAAUUUCUUGAUGGUCCUGCAAGCAUAAGGAUAAGAGAGCUAAAUUUAAGCAACUGCGUGCGGCUAAGCGAUGCCUCUGUUAUGAAACUAUCUGAGCGCUGCCCUAAUUUAAACUACUUGAGUUUACGAAAUUGUGACCAUUUGACAGCCCAAGGAAUUGGAUAUAUUGUAAACAUCUUUUCCUUGGUAUCAAUAGAUCUCUCUGGAACAGACAUCUCUAAUGAGGGUUUGAAUGUACUUUCCAAACAUAAAAAAUUGAAGGAACUUUCUGUAUCCGAGUGUUAUAGAAUCACUGAUGUUGGAAUUCAGAUAGCAAGAAUGGAGGCAUCUGCAAAUAAGGAGGGACUUCCCAAGACACCAAUUGCAGAUUACUGACUCAGCGAUGGAGAUGUUAUCGGCAAAAUGCCAUUACCUGCACAUUUUGGAUAUCUCUGGUUGUGUCCUGCUUACUGACCAAAUCCUUGAGGACCUUCAGAUAGGCUGCAAACAACUCCGGAUCCUUAAGAUGCAAUACUGCACAAAUAUUUCCAAGAAGGCAGCUCAGAGAAUGUCAUCUAAAGUUCAGCAGCAGGAAUACAACUCUAAUGACCCUCCACGUUGGUUUGGCUAUGAUAGGGAAGGAGACCCUCUUACAGAGCUUGACAAUGUAACACCAUCUAAAGGAGCCUCAGAAUUAACAGUGGAAAAGUCAACAUAUAGCAGUGAAGAGCAAGUAGCGUGACCUUCAGCCUCAAGCAGGAAAAACAACAAAUCAAGAACUUGACAAGUUUUCUCCAUUUGUUGCAAGUAUGUUCACUAGCUGAAUCUCAAUAACAAUGUAAACAAGCAACAAACCAUCUUCUGAUUCUUAUUCCAACUACAAAUAUUUCCAAAUACAUCAGUAGUUCUUCUGUCUAAAUAAUCAUGAUUUAAAAAAGAAGCCAGGCCGGGAGCAGUGGCUCAUGCCUGUAAUCCUAGCACUUUGGGAGGCCGAGGCAGGUGGAUCAUAAGGUCAGGAGUUCGAGACCAGCCUGGCUAGCAUGGUAAAACUCCAUCUCCACUAAAACUACAAAAAUUAGCUGGCUGUGGUGGUGAGGGCCUGUAAUCCCAGCUACUCGGGAGGCUGAGGCAGAGGACUCGCUUGAACCUGAGAGGCAGAAGUUGCAGUGAGCCUAGAUCACGCCACUACACUCCAGCCUGGGCGAAAGAGCAAGACUCUGUCUC